GACGAACGCUGGCGGCGUGCCUAAUACAUGCAAGUUGAGCGAUGAAGCUUGGUGCUUGCUCCAAUUUGAAGAGCAGCGAACGGGUGAGUAACGCGUGGGGAAUCUGCCUUUGAGCGGGGGACAACAUUUGGAAACGAAUGCUAAUACCGCAUAACAACUUUAAACAUAAGUUUUAAGUUUGAAAGAUGCAAUUGCAUCACUCAAAGAUGAUCCCGCGUUGUAUUAGCUAGUUGGUGAGGUAAAGGCUCACCAAGGCGAUGAUACAUAGCCGACCUGAGAGGGUGGUCGGCCACAUUGGGACUGAGACACGGCCCAAACUCCUACGGGAGGCAGCAGGAGGGAAUCUUCGGCAAUGGACGAAAGUCUGACCGAGCAACGCCGGGUGAGGGAAGAAGGUUUUCGGAUCGGAAAACUCUGUUGGUAGGGAAGAACGUUGGUGAGAGUGGAAAGCGCAUCAAGUGACGGUAACUACCCAGAAAGGGACGGCUAACUACGUG
rnacentral:rRNA from 1 species